rnacentral:lncRNA from 7 species
GAUCUUAUUUGAUACCAGUCUGCAAUACAAUAUGGAUGCUUCUUAUUUUUGGUGAAAGUACUAUAUUAUGCCUAAUUAUUUUAUGUUACCGACAACCAUAUCUAGGGGUGACUAUGGUGAGUGGAUUACUUUUCUUGCUCUGUUGAUGCGUCUAUUUUUCUUCUUUGCGGGUAGAGUAGCAAACAUGGUUCAAAUAUGAGUACUUUUUAGAUUUUUUAUGUCUGCUAAUAAUCAAAUUUGUACUUGUUUUCGAGAUAACGGAAUGCUACAUUUUUUAAGGGAACAAAAUAUACCUUGCGCCCAACCUGAACAAAUUUUAUUACUUAUUGGAAUCAUUCAUUUGUAUGACUGAAGAAAAAGAAAAGGGACACUUCACAUCUUUGUAGCAUUGAUUCUGAACCGAUUU